AAACUUACCUAGCAGAGGUGAUUCUGCAAUCACUAAGGUGGUUUUCUCAGGGGGAGGCUUAUCCAUUUAUGUUGAACCCUGCAAUUUCCCAGAAUGUCAAAAGUUGUUGUUUGUGGUUGGCAGUGGGGUAUGGUGGUGAUUGCUGU
rnacentral:snRNA from 1 species